rfam:HIV-1 isolate VI850 from Democratic Republic of the Congo, complete genome.
ACCAAGGCAAAAAGACAAGUGGUGCAGAGAGAAAAAAGAGCAGCGGGACUAGGAGCUUUGUUCCUUGGGUUUCUUGGGGACAGCAGGGAGCAUAUGGGCGCGGCGUCGAUAACGCUGACGGUACAGGCCAGACAAUUAUUGUCUGGAAUAGUGCAACAGCAAAACAAUUUGCUGAGGGCUAUUGAAGCGCAACAGCAUCUGUUGCAGCUCACAGUCUGGGGCAUUAAACAGCUCCAGGCAAGAGUCCUGGCUGUGGAAAGAUACCUAAAGGAUCAACAGCUCCUAGGGAUCUGGGGCUGCUCUGGAAAACUCAUCUGCACCACUAAUGUGCCCUGGA